rnacentral:rRNA from 1 species
UACGGAGGGUGCAAGCGUUGUUCGGAAUCACUGGGCGUAAAGCGCGUGUAGGCGGCCUGUUAAGUCUGAUGUGAAAGCCCGGGGCUCACCCCCGGAAGUGCAUUGGAAACUGGCAGACUCGAGUCCCGGAGAGGAGGGUGGAAUUCCUGGUGUAGCGGUGAAAUGCGUAGAGAUCAGGAGGAACACCGGUGGCGAAGGCGGCCCUCUGGACGGUGACUGACGCUGAGACGCGAAAGCGUGGGGAGCAAACAGG